rnacentral:lncRNA from 1 species
AAUCUUAUACUUGAGAUCAUUUUAAACAAUAACUAGCGAUGUUUUAAAUAAUUUUUAUAUUUGUAAAAAUAUCGAGUAAAAGUCGUUAAGUAAAUAUGUUGGAAUAAAUAUACCGAUACUUUAAUAUAGCGUCGAAAAAUUUUUAUCAAUAUUUGAUGAAAAUAUGUUUAUUUACGAUACUUAAUAAUGGCGCCAGCAUAUACCAAAUAUUGAAAUCGUUAGAAUAAAAUAUGGUUUAAAAAAGAGUCGGCUAAAAUAUAUUUUAUUGUAACUAUAUAGUAUAAUUUGAAAUACUAAAGUUUUAUGCGUUUUCUAUAGUUAGAUGUGGCAUUAAGCAUUACAGUUUUUUAAAUAAUUUAUGUGAUUACUUUAUAUUAAUAAAAUUUUAUUUUUUUGUAUACAAGAUGGUGAGAUUUUAAGAAAAAAUAUAUUUUUUAAAUUUAAAAUAAAUAGAUAGAUAAGCUAAUUUUUUAUUAAAAAUUUACCGUUAUAGCCUGUUUAGUAUUAAAGAUCGUUUAAUGCUAUUGGAUAAAAAAAAAAAAAAUCAAACAAAAAUAUUCCGAUGAGAUCAUAGAGAAUAUUGCUUUAAAGCAGUAAAAUUUGUAUCAAAUAUAUAAUUUAUUUUUAUUAUAUUUUUAAAAUUAUAAAUAAUAUAAUUUUGUUAAGAAAAACUUCAAAUACCACUUCUAUAGUUUUGCACUUUUUUUAUUUUAGUAUUCUAUGGUUUAAAGUGUAUCAAUUUGGUACUUUAUGCUUUCAUUUUUCUUUUUUUAUUAUUUCAUUCAUUAAUUUUUUUUUGUUAAAUAAGUGACAAAGUUAAAAUUAAAAUGUAUUAAAAUGAAUAUUCGAUAAACUUAGGUGGCUAUCUGAAGUUUUUUUUGUAUAUAAUUUAACGAAAUAUUAACAAAAAAAAUUGACGAAAAGAAAAAAAAAAUUACAGAAUACCAAAUUAAUACACUUUAAAUUAUAAGUACUAAAGUAAAAAAUUUUGAAAUCAUAGGAAUGAUAUUUAAAAUUUAUCCUUUUUUUUUUUUAAUUCUA